GCCACUAGCACAGAGCAACGGGGAAGGUUCCAAUUGUCUAAUAGGAAGCUCUCUAGGUUAAUGUCUGCAUCACGAAGAUGCUCCUAUGAUACCUAUUCUAUGUUAUUCUAAGACUCUAGGAUUCAAGGGAUUGUACCUAUUAGUUAAUCGUUUGGAAUUAGACACAUUUUGUAUAGAGAUCGAUAACCCCCAAGUCGAAAAUUGUCCUAACCAUGAGACAGAAUUUGAAUGGGUCAAUCGGAAUAAUAAAGCUAUGUGGAGUUCAAAUUUGGUUCAAAUUAAGGAUUAGUUAAGAAAGUG
rnacentral:misc_RNA from 1 species